GGAGCUGGAGCUCAGCCUCUUGCGCGCACGCACCAGGCACAACAGCACAACGGACACCCAGAAGCAUGCUGAUGAGAGGGAAGCGGGCCGCAGGAAAAGCUACCCAACUAUAAAUUCGGCCUCCAGUGGAGGAAAGGGGAUGAGGAAACUGAGACUCGGAGCCAUUGACUGCUUGUCCAGAGCAAUCAGGGGAGGCAAGAUCUGAACACCUGCUGCCGGGAGGGUCCUGUGAGCUUCUCCUCACCUGGAGAUCAUUCUUCACCUGCCGUGAACAAGAACUUGGAGUCCAGUAUCAUCUUUCCGGUGCCAGAAGGAUGGAGAGAGAGAUCAACAGGUGAACAGAUGAACAGAUAGGUGGAUAGGAAGGCCGCAGGCUCUAAGAAGUGGUGGAUCCCUGCUAUCAAGGAGCCGCCUCAAGCAGGGAUGGCCUGGGGCAGAAGAUGCUAAGGGAAGGAUGGGGUGGGGGGGCUGGAAGGGGGGGUUCUCUCCACCCCCUUCACCACUUUAGCCAGACCGCCUCCUCCUCUACGUCGGAUUAUAAAUUGAUUUUAUGAAC
rnacentral:lncRNA from 1 species